UUGGAGUGUAACUCAGUGGUAGAACACAUGCUUAGCAUGUAUGAGGCCCUGGGUUCAAUCCACUGCACAAA
rnacentral:tRNA from 1 species